rnacentral:rRNA from 1 species
GGGUUGUGAGGUUAAGCGACUAAGCGUACACGGUGGAUGCCCUGGCAGUCAGAGGCGAUGAAGGGCGUACUAAUCUGCGAUAAGCGCCGGUAAGGUGAUAUGAACCGUUAUAACCGGCGAUACCCGAAUGGGGAAACCCAGUGUGAUUCGUCACACUAUCAUUAACUGAAUCCAUAGGUUAAUGAGGCGAACCGGGGGAACUGAAACAUCUAAGUACCCCGAGGAAAAGAAAUCAACCGAGAUUCCCCCAGUAGCGGCGAGCGAACGGGGAGGAGCCCAGAGCCUGAAUCAGCAUGUGUGUUAGUGGAAGCGUCUGGAAAGGCGCGCGAUACAGGGUGACAGCCCCGUACACAAAAGCGCAUGUGCUGUGAGCUCGAUGAGUAGGGCGGGACACGUGGUAUCCUGUCUGAAUAUGGGGGGACCAUCCUCCAAGGCUAAAUACUCCUGACUGACCGAUAGUGAACCAGUACCGUGAGGGAAAGGCGAAAAGAACCCCGGCGAGGGGAGUGAAAAAGAACCUGAAACCGUGUACGUACAAGCAGUGGGAGCCCCACCACCAAAGCAUUUGCUGUACCGCGUUGACGGAGCGAAGCGACGUCAAACCGAUAAAACAG